rnacentral:miRNA from 1 species
ACUGAUUUCUUUCGGUGUUCAG